GUACCCGUAGCUCAGUUGGAUAGAGCGCUUGACUACGGAUCAAGAGGUCGAGGGUUCAAAUCCUUCCGGGUACGCCA
rnacentral:tRNA from 1 species